GUGGAUUAGAUACCCUGGUAGUCCACGCCGUAAACGAUGUCAACUUGAAGUCUGUGCCAUAGAGCGUGGGCUUCGAAGCUAACGCGAUAAGUUGACCGCCUGGGGAGUACGGCCGCAAGGUUAAAACUCAAAUGAAUUGACGGGGGCCCGCACAAGCGGUGGAGCAUGUGGUUUAAUUCGAUGCAACGCGAAGAACCUUACCUGGCCUUGACAUGUCUGGAAUCCCUAAGAGAUUGGGGAGUGCCUUCGGGAAUCAGAACACAGGUGCUGCACGGUUGUCGACAGCU
rnacentral:rRNA from 1 species